AUAUCGUUCUUCCCAUGAGACUCGAAAGGUUUUCUCGUUUGUGUGAAUUAAAAUCGUAAGACUUGUAAAAAGAAAUAAUUGUGGUGAAUGCAAAGACAGAAAAUAAACAUGUAAUGUGUUUGAUUCAAUUGAUGAAAAGAGAUUAUGGAUGAGUGGAGUUGUUGGGGGUUUACAAUUUCAUCUUAUCUUCUCCCUCUUAUCUACUCCUCUUGUUUACUGCGCUUAGUUAUCUAAUUGUUAUGCAAACUUUCUUGGCCUACCCUUAACCCGAUCCCUCAGCGAAAAGAGCCUAUUACUAAUUACUGACUUGCUAUCCCUAGCCUCCCCUAGUAAUUAAUAAUGCAUUAAGAACAAAAGCAAAAACAAUUGAUCGUCCUACCCC
rnacentral:lncRNA from 1 species